UAAAGCUUUGGAAAAACAAGUUAAAGUUUGUAACUUUCGUUUGGAACUCUGUUUUAUAAGAUCUCUUUGAUAGAUAGGUGCAUAUGAAUGUCUGUCUAGGUGAAAAACAGAAGAACCCUGUUUUACUUACAGCUUCAGAGAAGGCUGCUGGCCAGGUCACUCAGUAAGUCCCUCCUGAGGAUGGGUACAGCAAUGCGGAGUAGAAGGAAGCUGCUUAUAUACAACAGGAAGGGUGGGGCAGUAGUAUCUGCAUGGGUCUAGGAGCAAAGACGGUGUUUCUGAACUGUGAGUAAUUAAGCACAUGAAAAUAAGGAAUCUUGUAAGGCUGGAUGAAACUGCAAAGAAGUUGACAGAAAGGAUAAAAGAAGGCAUUUCAAAGAAGAAAGCAACUGCAUGAGGUGUCAGAUAAGUGAAAUGCUUCAAGCUAUCUGCUUUUCUUUGGGGCAGCAGAUGAAGGUGGGAAAGGUACUGGAACAAGGAAAAGACUGUGAAACAGGGUAAGGAGGUAAGAAAGGCAACGGUGGAGCAUUUUCAUAGACUAAGAGGAACUGAAGCUUAUCUUUCAUUUAAAAAAGGAGGGAUGUUCAGAAAUAUUAACUUUUGAAAUCAACCAACUGGAAGAGACUUUGAUCAUUUCUAUGAACACUAAAGAUACUCUGAU